UUUUGUUCUGCUGUUAAAUAGUGAUACUUAAAUAUGGCAAGCAAGUAUUUGGGUAAAAACGUCGUCCAAGGGCUGCAAUUUUUGUCAAAAAUAACUAAACCUCCUCACACUCUUUCCCCUUUAUUCGUUAACCCUUCUCAAUGCUCUUCAGUAAAUUCUGAACUUGAAAGCAGUCCCUUUAUAAAGACCUUGUUGAGUCCUAUCCAAUUUGAAUUAAAAGUCAGGAAUCAGCGCAAUUCAGCAAGAUGAAUCAUGCUGGUGUUAGCCCUCACUUAUGUACACUCGUAGUGAUUAAUUGUUGUUGCAAUUUGGAGGUAGUAGAAUGUGGGUUUUGUGUGUUUGGUGAAAUUAUGAAGACGGGUUUUGAGCCUGAUUUGGUUACUUUUAGAACUUUGGCUAAAGGUAUGUGGCUGGAUGGAAAGGCACUCAAAGUGUUUGAUAAAAUGACUAUAAGUGGGGUUCAAGGGGAUGCUCGCUUUCGUAACGUUCAAUAUGCAAAAUCCACGAAACAAGUUGUGCUGUUGAGUUGCAUAUAUAGGAGGAUGGGGAUUGGGGGAUGGGAACCGUAAGGGUGAUUUAUUCACUUCUCUUUGUAACGAACACAGCAAAUGUUUUAGGAAACGAGCAGUUAAAAUGUCAGAGAAGCUUAUGAGGUCUUUGAUUUGAUGAUCGAGUACGGAAAAGAGCCUACUGAGUUUACCUAUAAUUCUCGGGGCAUCAAGGCAAAUGUUAUAAGCUAUACAAUGAAUUAUUUCAAGAAAUGCAACAUAAAGGAUUGAAGCCAACUGUUUAUAUAAGGAAAUUUCUUAAUCUUGUCAUGUUUAUAUAAGGAAAUUUCUUGUCUGUCUUUUAA